rnacentral:sRNA from 1 species
CUCUCGGCUCUCUCUCUUCCCCUGGACUCACUAGGACCGAGUCACCAUCGAAGAGAGGCUCGCAACGAACCCCGGACCCUGCCCUGCGAGUUCGACGACACGGAGUAAGCUCUGGCGAGCACCGCCCCUUUCGAGGCCAUUUCCGGCCAAACCACGACGAGUUGGCCGGCGUGCAAGUUUCCGGCGAGUCCGACGGCUUUCGAGGCGUUUUCCGGCCAAACCACGGCGAAUUAGACGUCGUGUGAGGGGCAAUAUUGGUGACGUUUUCUUGUUCGUUAGUUUGCAUGGCUCUUCGGCGGCUAAGUACUGAUUUAGGAUCGAGGCAUACAAUCCCGGCAUCCAGGCACUUCCGCAUCGGUAUCUUCGAGUCCUCUCGGUGUAGAACCCACUUCUGUGUUCAUUCAAUUUUUAUAUUAACUCUUUUAAUAUUCUAGAUUAGAUGUGUGCUCUGAACACGUUCCUUAAAUACAUAUUCUUUAUUCUCUUAUAUUUAUAAGUCUUAUCU